rnacentral:rRNA from 1 species
AGAUUGAACGCUGGCGGCAUGCCUUACACAUGCAAGUCGAACGGCAGCACGGGAGCAAUCCUGGUGGCGAGUGGCGAACGGGUGAGUAAUAUAUCGGAACGUGCCCGAGUCGUGGGGGAUAACGCAGCGAAAGCUGUGCUAAUACCGCAUACGAUCGUAUGGAUGAAAGCGGGGGAUCGCAAGACCUCGCGCGAUUGGGAGCGGCCGAUAUCAAGAUUAGCUGGUUGGUAGGGGUAAAAGCCUAACCGAAGGCGACGAUCUGUAGCUGGUCUGGGAGGACGACCAGCCACACUGGAACUGAGACACGGUCCAGACUCUACGGGAGGCGGCAGGUGGGGAAUUUUGGACAAUGGGCGCAAGCCUGAUCCAGCAAUGCCGA